GAUCUGUUGGCGCAGUUGGUAGCGCGUUUCCUUGACAUGGAAAAGGUCACAGGUUCAAGUCCUGUACAGAUCACCA
rnacentral:tRNA from 1 species